rnacentral:pre_miRNA from 1 species
GCUAAGGGGAUUGUUGUCUGGCUCGAGGCAUCCGGUCUGCUUUCUUCCUCUUCACCAGGAGGCGUCGUCCGGCGAGCUCCAUCGGAGCCUCGGACCAGGCUUCAAUCCCUUUAAC